CCUACGGGAGGCAGCAGUGAGGAAUAUUGGUCAAUGGGGGAAACCCUGAUGCAGCGACGCCGCGUGAGUGAAGAAGUAAUUCGUUAUGUAAAGCUCUAUCAGCAGGGAAGAAAAUGACGGUACCUGAGUACGAAGCCCCGGCUAACUACGUGCCAGCAGCCGCGGUAAUACGUAGGGGGCAAGCGUUAUCCGGAUUUACUGGGUGUAAAGGGAGCGUAGACGGCAGUGCAAGUCUGGAGUGAAAGGCGGGGGCUCAACCCCCGGACUGCUCUGGAAACUGUACGGCUGGAGUGCAGGAGAGGUAAGUGGAAUUCGUAGUGUAGCGGUGAAAUGCGUAGAUAUUAGGAGGAACACCAGUGGCGAAGGCGGCAUACUGGACUGUAACUGACGUUGAGGCUCGAAAGCGUGGGGAGCAAACAGGAUUAGAUACCCGUGUAGUC
rnacentral:rRNA from 1 species